rnacentral:rRNA from 1 species
UUCAGGGAAAGGCGAAAAGAACCCCGGAAGGGGAGUGAAAUAGAUCCUGAAACCGUGUGCAUACAAACAGUAGGAGCGGACUUGUUCCGUGACUGCGUACCUUUUGUAUAAUGGGUCAGCGACUUACAUUCAGUGGCAAGGUUAACCGAAUAGGGAAGCCGUAGAGAAAUCGAGUCCGAAUAGGGCGUUCAGUCGCUGGGUGUAGACCCGAAACCAAGUGAUCUACUCAUGGCCAGGUUGAAGGUGCCGUAACAGGUACUGGAGGACCGAACCCACUAAUGUUGAAAAAUUAGGGGAUGAGCUGUGGGUAGGGGUGAAAGGCUAAACAAACUUGGAAAUAGCUGGUUCUCUCCGAAAACUAUUUAGGUAGUGCCUCAAGUAUCACCAUCGGGGGUAGAGCACUGUUAUGGCUAGGGGGUCAUCGCGACUUACCAAACCAUUGCAAACUCCGAAUACCGAUGAGUGCGAGCUUGGGAGACAGACGUCGGGUGCUAGCGUCCGGCGUCAAGAGGGAAACAACCCAGACCGCCAGCUAAGGUCCCAAAGAUUGGCUAAGUGGAAAACGAAGUGGGAAGGCUAAAACAGUCAGGAGGUUGGCUUAGAAGCAGCCAUCCUUUAAAGAAAGCGUAAUAGCUCACUGAUCGAGUCGUCCUGCGCGGAAGAUGUAACGGGGCUAAGCCAGUCACCGAAGCUGCGGAUAUGUGUUUACACAUAUGGUAGGAGAGCGUUCUGUAAGCCUGCGAAGGUGUCUUGUAAAGGAUGCUGGAGGUAUCAGAAGUGCGAAUGCUGACAUGAGUAGCGAUAAUGGGGGUGAAAAGCCUCCACGCCGUAAGCCCAAGGUUUCCUGUUCAACGUUCAUCGGAGCAGGGUGAGUCGGCCCCUAAGGCGAGGCAGAGAUGCGUAGCUGAUGGGAAGCAGGUUAAUAUUCCUGCACCGUCGUUAGAUGCGAUGGGGGGACGGAUCGUGGAAGGUUGUCCGGGUGUUGGAUGUCCCGGUUUGUGCAUCAGAGAAGGCUGUUAGGCAAAUCCGGCAGCGUAAUUCAAGGGUGUGCGACGAGUGGCCUUGUGCCGCGAAGCAAUCGGAAGUGGUUCCAAGAAAAGCCUCUAAGCUUCAGUCUAACGAGACCGUACCGCAAACCGACACAGGUGGGCGAGAUGAGUAUUCUAAGGCGCUUGAGAGAACUCGGGAGAAGGAACUCGGCAAAUUGGUACCGUAACUUCGGGAUAAGGUACGCCCUUGUAGUUUGACUGGCCUGCGCCAGAAGGACGAAGGGGUUGCAAUAAAUUGGUGGCUGCGACUGUUUAAUAAAAACACAGCACUCUGCAAACACGAAAGUGGACGUAUAGGGUGUGACUCCUGCCCGGUGCUGGAAGAUUAAAUGAUGGGGUGCAAGCUCUUGAUUGAAGUCCCAGUAAACGGCGGCCGUAACAAUAACGGUCCUAAGGUAGCGAAAUUCCUUGUCGGGUAAGUUCCGACCUGCACGAAUGGAGUAACGAUGGCCACACUGUCUCCUCCCGAGACUCAGCGAAGUUGAAAUGUUUGUGAUGAUGCAAUCUACCCGCC